rnacentral:rRNA from 1 species
AUUGAACGCUGGCGGCAUGCCUUACACAUGCAAGUCGAACGGCAGCAUGGAAGAGCUUGCUCUUCUGAUGGCGAGUGGCGAACGGGUGAGUAAAGCAUCGGAACGUACCGUGUAGUGGGGGAUAACGUAGCGAAAGUUGCGCUAAUACCGCAUACGCACUGAGGUGGAAAGCAGGGGAUCGCAAGACCUUGCGCUAUACGAGCGGCCGAUGUCAGAUUAGCUAGUUGGUAGGGUAAAGGCCUACCAAGGCGACGAUCUGUAGCGGGUCUGAGAGGAUGAUCCGCCACACUGGGACUGAGACACGGCCCAGACUCCUACGGGAGGCAGCAGUGGGGAAUUUUGGACAAUGGGCGAAAGCCUGAUCCAGCCAUGCCGCGUGAGUGAAGAAGGCC